CUCAGCUUGGCUGUCCCUGUAGUCCCAUGCAGGGGUGCAGGAACAAUUGAUAUAGUGGGGGGUGCUGAGAGCCAUUGAACCAAACUGUAAACCCUGUAUAUAAUGGAAAUCACUUCAAGCCAAGGGGUGCGGCAACACCCCCACCACCUCUAGUUCCAGCAUCUAUGCCCGCAGAGAAACUGC